rnacentral:rRNA from 1 species
GUGAGGAAUAUUGGUCAAUGGGCGAGAGCCUGAACCAGCCAAGUCGCGUGAAGGAAGAAGGAUCUAUGGUUCGUAAACUUCUUUUGCAGGGGAAUAAAGUGCAGGACGUGUCCUGUUUUGUAUGUACCCUGAGAAUAAGGAUCGGCUAACUCCGUGCCAGCAGCCGCGGUAAAACGGAGGACCCGAGCGUAUUCCGGUUUUUUUGGGUUUAAAGGGUGCGUAGGUGGUUUGAUAAGUCAGCGGUGAAAGUUUGCAGCUUAACUGUAAAAAUGCCGUUGAAACUGUCGGACUUGAGUGUAAAUGAGGUAGGCGGAAUGCGUGGUGUAGCGGUGAAAUGCAUAGAUAUCACGCAGAACUCCGAUUGCGAAGGCAGCUUACUAAGCUACAACUGACACUGAAGCACGAAAGCGUGGGGAUCAAACAGGAUUAGAUACCCCAGUAGUCC